rnacentral:rRNA from 1 species
UACAGAGGGUGCAAGCGUUAAUCGGAAUUACUGGGCGUAAAGCGCAUGUAGGUGGAUAGAUAAGUUUGAUGUGAAAGCCCUGGGCUUAACCUGGGAACGGCGUUGAAGACUGUCUGUCUAGAGUUUGGCAGAGGGCUGUGGAAUUUCCGGUGUAGCGGUGAAAUGCGUAGAGAUCGGAAAGAACACCAGUGGCGAAGGCGGCAGCCUGGGCCAAAACUGACACUGAGGUGCGAAAGGCGUGGGGAGCAAACAGG